ensembl:lncRNA LINC01789 long intergenic non-protein coding RNA 1789
ACAGCAGAAAUGACAAGGCAUAACAAGUCACGUAAGGGAGCUCUUUGGUUUUUCCUGGGAGUUAAAGUAAAGAUUUACCUCCUCUUAAUUUUUCCAGUGGGUGGUAAACAAACUUCUCUAAGCCUCUUCUGGUAAGGGCUUCCGAGAUAGUUUUUACAUGCAGGAAGAGAGAACAAGUGCAGGCAACGUCCAAGGUCCUCUUGUUUUGCAGAUCACUGCACAACAGACCCUCAGGUAGAACAAGUUUAGAUAGUGACUCUUAACCAAAGUACAAGUUAGCAUCACCUGGAAGACUUUACUAACCAUGGUUGGCUGAGAGUCUGUGGGAGCAGAAGAGGAAACUGAGGCUUUAGAGAACUGUAGCACAUUGGCAAGGACAUCCAGCUCAUAAACACCCUCAGCCUUCAGCAUGAGAACAGGGACAUCAGCCUGCUUUGCCCAUGGAACUGUCUCCAGAGCCUACAACAAUGCUCAGCCUAUGAGAGGUGUCUCCUAGAAGACUUUCCAUUUCAACAAGCCUCAUUUAUAUGCAACUGGCAAUUUCUCUAAACAGAAGAAAAGGGGAGAUUUUGCCAAUCAAUUGGCUUCACCAUCCCCCAGCCCCAAAGUGUGUUUAAGAACAUUUGCCUGUGCAUGCAUGUGUUUUCCUUUGCAUCCCACAAGAGGAAGGGUCUCGCUCUGUGGCCCAGGCUGGAGAGUAUGGUGCAAUCAAGGCUCACUGCCCCAUGUUCAAGCCAUCCUCCCACCUCAGCCUCCCAGAUAGCUGGGACUAGAGACACACAUCACCACGCAUGGCUCUGGGUUACUUCAAUAAGUAUUUUUCAAUAAAUAUUUCUUCAAUAAAUAUUUAAUAACACAAA